rnacentral:rRNA from 1 species
CAACGCUGGCGGCGUGCCUAAUACAUGCAAGUCGAGCGGAAUGAUGAAGAAGCUUGCUUCUUCUGAUUUUAGCGGCGGACGGGUGAGUAACACGUGGGCAACCUACCUUGUAGAUUGGGAUAACUCCGGGAAACCGGGGCUAAUACCGAAUAAUCCAUUUUGCUUCAUGGCGAGAUGUUGAAAGACGGUUUCGGCUGUCACUAUAAGAUGGGCCCGCGGCGCAUUAGCUAGUUGGUAGGGUAAUGGCCUACCAAGGCGACGAUGCGUAGCCGACCUGAGAGGGUGAUCGGCCACACUGGGACUGAGACACGGCCCAGACUCCUACGGGAGGCAGCAGUAGGGAAUCUUCCACAAUGGACGAAAGUCUGAUGGAGCAACGCCGCGUGAGUGAAGAAGGUUUUCGGAUCGUAAAACUCUGUUGUAAGGGGAGAACACGUACGAGAGUAACUGCUCGUACCUUGACGGUACCUUAUUAGAAAGCCACGGCUAACUACGUG